rnacentral:rRNA from 1 species
AUUCCAGCUCCAAUAGCGUAUAUUAAAGUUGUUGCGGUUAAAAAGCUCGUAGUUGGAUUUCUGCUGAGGACGACCGGUCCGCCCUCUGGGUGAGUAUCUGGCUUGGCCUUGGCAUCUUCUUGGAGAACGUAGCUGCACUUGACUGUGUGGUGCGGUAUCCAGGACUUUUACUUUGAGGAAAUUAGAGUGUUUCAAGCAGGCACACGCCUUGAAUACAUUAGCAUGGAAUAAUAAGAUAGGACCUUGGUUCUAUUUUGUUGGUUUCUAGAGCUGAGGUAAUGAUUAAUAGGGACAGUUGGGGGCAUUCAUAUUCCAUUGUCAGAGGUGAAAUUCUUGGAUUAACGGAAGAUGAACUUCUGCGAAAGCAUCUGCCAAGGAUGUUUUCAUUG